GUGCAUGUCCCGAGCAUCUCUCCGCUUUUUCCACCAGCCACUAGCCACUAGCCACUAGCCAGUAUCAGUGGCAGUAUCUGACGGAUGCGUAACGCGAUCAAGUGCAGGCCCUUUAUGUGUUUAAAAACUGACAGAAAUACUCCUACUUCGUACUCCUAAAAUCGUACAACAAAUGAAUUGAAUUGAAUAUUUACUGCUCAGGUUUACAACAACAACAACAACAACAA